rfam:Fukomys damarensis contig98535, whole genome shotgun sequence.
GUGCUCAUUUCAGUAGCACUAAAAUUUGAAUGACACAGAGAAAAUUAGCACAGCCCAUGCACAAUGAUGGCAUAAAAAUUUGUCAGUGUUCCCCGUUUUUU